UGGGGAAUAUUGCACAAUGGGCGCAAGCCUGAUGCAGCCAUGCCGCGUGUGUGAAGAAGGCCUUCGGGUUGUAAAGCACUUUCAGCGAGGAGGAAGGUGGUGAGCUUAAUACGCUCAUCAAUUGACGUUACUCGCAGAAGAAGCACCGGCUAACUCCGUGCCAGCAGCCGCGGUAAUACGGAGGGUGCAAGCGUUAAUCGGAAUUACUGGGCGUAAAGCGCACGCAGGCGGUUUGUUAAGUCAGGUGUGAAAUCCCCGGGCUCAACCUGGGAACUGCAUUUGAAACUGGCAAGCUAGAGUCUCGUAGAGGGGGGUAGAAUUCCAGGUGUAGCGGUGAAAUGCGUAGAGAUCUGGAGGAAUACCGGUGGCGAAGGCGGCCCCCCUGGACGAAGACUGACGCUCAGGUGCGAAAGCGUGGGGCAGCAAACAGGAUUAGAUACCCUGGUAGUCCAGCGCUGUAAACGAUGUCGAUUUGGAGGUUGUGCCCUUGAGGCGUGGCUUCCGGAGCUAACGCGUUAAAUCGACCGCCUGGGGAGUACGGCCGCAAGGUUAAAACUCAAAGGAAUUGAC
rnacentral:rRNA from 1 species